rnacentral:rRNA from 2 species
CCCGGCAACCAUAGCCGAGGGGAAACACCCGUUCCCAUCCCGAACACGGCCGUUAAGCCCUCUGGCGCCGAUGGUACUGUCCGCGAGAGCGGGCGGGAGAGUAGGUGUUGCCGGGA